CUAGUAGUAACUAACACAACAUCGAGGAAAAUAGUGACCGGGCUCUCCCAACCAAACAUAAAAACAACCGAAUGGCGAAUAAAUGUCCAUCCUUAUUCUAUAUAAUACAUCUAAAUAAACUAUAAUGGGCUUGCUAACAACAACUUCAAAGGUAGGUUUUUCAAGUUCUAUGUGUGCAUAAUCUUUACAACUAUCGGAAAUGAAUAUUUCAAACCCCUUUGGCCACUGUAUGAUUUCUAGAGUUAUAUAACAAUUAAGAUAAGCUUUAUAUUCAAAG
rnacentral:lncRNA from 1 species